rnacentral:rRNA from 1 species
UAGGGAACCUUCCACAAUGGACGCAAGUCUGAUGGAGCAACGCCGCGUGAGUGAAGAAGGUUUUCGGACCGUAAAGUUCUGUUGUUGGUGAAGAAGGAUAGAGGUAGUAACUGGCCUUUAUUUGACGGUAAUCAACCAGAAAGUCACGGCUAACUACGUGCCAGCAGCCGCGGUAAUACGUAGGUGGCAAGCGUUGUCCGGAUUUAUUGGGCGUAAAGCGAGCGCAGGCGGAAGAAUAAGUCUGAUGUGAAAGCCCUCGGCUUAACCGAGGAAUUGCAUCGGAAACUGUUUUCUUGAGUGCAGAAGAGGAGAGUAGAACUCCAUGUGUAGCGGUGGAAUGCGUAGAUAUAUGGAAGAAUACCAGUGGCGAAGGCGGCUCUCUGGUCUGCAACUGACGCUGAGGCUCGAAAGCAUGGGUAGCGAACAGGAUUAGAUACCCUGGUAGUCCAUGCCGUAAACGAUGAGUGCUAAGUGUUGGGAGGCUUCCGCCUCUCAGUGCUGCAGCUAACGCAUUAAGCACUCCGCCUGGGGGAGUACGACCGCAAGGUUGAAAC